AUGUUGUCAUUUCAGCAUUAGACUGGAUAUCUUCUUGAGGCGCUACCCUAUGGCCAGAGUUUUUGUUAUCCUGUACAUAAUGCUGCUGCACCUGUGGGUCAUGAUUGUUCUCCUGACUUACACACCCAAAAUGCACCAUGGCCAUCCUGACGGAAGAUAGAAGGCUUGAAUUUUAGAGUCAACUCGUGGCCUUUAAUGUAACAAUGGCCCAAGCUGCUGGAAUAUGGACUCUGGGUCCUGACUCUCCCUGUUUUGCACAGAAAUUAUAUCAAUUAAAUACAUUUCCUCUGCUUUAUUUUUUACAACUGAAGAUUGAUAACUGAUAGCUGCAUUGAGUUUUUAGAAUAAUGUGAUAAGAGUGUUGUAUUAUAAUGCUUGUCUGCUGAAAGGACAUUAAACCAAACAUGAGCUCA